rnacentral:rRNA from 1 species
GACGAACGCUGGCGGCGUGCUUAACACAUGCAAGUCGAACGGAAAGGCCCUGCUUUUGUGGGGUGCUCGAUUGGCGAACGGGUGAGUAACACGUGAGUAACCUGCCCUUGACUUUGGGAUAACUUCAGGAAACUGGGGCUAAUACCGGAUAGGAGCUGCUGCUGCAUGGUGGGGGUUGGAAAGUGUCGGCGGUUGGGGAUGGACUCGCGGCUUAUCAGCUUGUUGGUGGGGUAGUGGCUUACCAAGGCUUUGACGGGUAGCCGGCCUGAGAGGGUGACCGGGCACAUUGGGACUAAGAUACGGCCCAGACUGCUACGGGAGGCAGCAGUGGGGAAUAUUGCACAAUGGGCGGAAGCAUGAUGCAGCAACGCCGCGUGCGGGAUGACGGCCUUCGGGUUGUAAACCGCUUUCGCCUGUGACGAAGCGUGAGUGACGGUAAUGGGUAAAGAAGCACCGGCUAACUACGUG